CACCUACCAAGUAGUGCCCUACCCCAACGACCCAAACUGGCACUAGCCUUCUAUCCUAAUUCGCAUCCUCCAGAUCUUCCUAUCUAGGGUCAUGUCUUCAGUGAGCUGUAACUGCUCCAUGUCCCACCUAAUCACCUCUCCAAUAUUUCUUCGGCCUACCCUUGCCGCGCCUGAAACCAUCCAAAGUUAGCCUCUCACACCUACGAAUCGGCGCAUCCGUGCCCCUCCUCAUCACGUGACCGAACCAUCUCAAUCGA
rnacentral:lncRNA from 1 species